rnacentral:rRNA from 1 species
CUCCAGACUCCUACGGGAGGCAGCAGUGAGGAAUAUUGGUCAAUGGGCGGGAGCCUGAACCAGCCAAGUCGCGUGAAGGAAGAAGGUACUUAGUAUUGUAAACUUCUUUUGUCGGGGAACAAAGGCGGAGACGCGUCUCCGGAUGAGUGUACCCGAAGAAAAAGCAUCGGCUAACUCCGUGCCAGCAGCCGCGGUAAUACGGAGGAUGCGAGCGUUAUCCGGAUUUAUUGGGUUUAAAGGGUGCGUAGGUGGUUAAUUAAGUCAGCGGUGAAAGUUUGUGGCUCAACCAUAAAAUUGCCGUUGAAACUGGUUGACUUGAGUAUAUUUGAGGUAGGCGGAAUGCGUGGUGUAGCGGUGAAGUGCUUAGAUAUCACGAAGAACUCCGAUUGCGAAGGCAGCUUACUAAACUGCCACUGACAUUGAUGCUCGAAAGUGUGGGUAUCAAACAGGAUUAGAUACCCGAGUA